UACAGAGGGUGCAAGCGUUAAUCGGAAUUAUUGGGCGUAAAGCGCACGUAGGCGGCUUGGCAAGUCGGAUGUGAAAUCCCUCGGCUCAACCAAGGAAGUGCAUCCGAAACUGCCGAGCUUGAGUACUUAAGAGGAUCGCGGAAUUCCCGGUGUAGAGGUGAAAUUCGUAGAUAUCGGGAGGAACACCAGUGGCGAAGGCGGCGAUCUGGGAAGAUACUGACGCUGAGGUGCGAAAGCGUGGGGAGCAAACAGG
rnacentral:rRNA from 1 species